GGAAGUAAAAGUCGUAACAAGGUCUCCGUUGGUGAACCAGCGGAGGGAUCAUUACUGAGUUACCGCUCUAUAACCCUUUGUGAACAUACCUAACCGUUGCUUCGGCGGGCAGGGGAAGCCUCUCGCGGGCCUCCCCUCCCGGCGCCGGCCCCCACCACGGGGACGGGGCGCCCGCCGGAGGAAACCAAACUCUAUUUACACGACGUCUCUUCUGAGUGGCACAAGCAAAUAAUUAAAACUUUUAACAACGGAUCUCUUGGUUCUGGCAUCGAUGAAGAACGCAGCGAAAUGCGAUAAGUAAUGUGAAUUGCAGAAUUCAGUGAAUCAUCGAAUCUUUGAACGCACAUUGCGCUCGCCAGCAUUCUGGCGAGCAUGCCUGUUCGAGCGUCAUUUCAACCCUCAAGCACCGCUUGGUUUUGGGGCCCCACGGCACACGUGGGCCCUUAAAGGUAGUGGCGGACCCUCCCGGAGCCUCCUUUGCGUAGUAACUAACGUCUCGCACUGGGAUUCGGAGGGACUCUUGCCGUAAAACCCCCAAAUUUUUUACAGGUUGACCUCGGAUCAGGUAGGAAUACCCGCUGAACUUAAGCAUAUCAAUAAGCGGAGGA
rnacentral:rRNA from 1 species